AGUUGCAGAAGGAGGCAUCCCUAUCGGACGCAACACAGACAACAGCACGCCCGCCAUCCUCUCCUUCGCCUGCUCCUCGAACUCAAACUUCUGCCAUACCACCUCCGCCCCAGGCCCCCGCGCCACCACCUCCACCUCCUUCCCAGCCUCCUGCUCAGAAAGCUGCCCCUCCGCCAAAAUCAUCAGAACGAGGCGCAUUAUUAAGCUCCAUCUGCGAUUUUAAGAAAGGCAAAUUAAAAAAGGCUGAGACUAAUGACAAAAGCAAACCCAAAUUAUAGGGUGGUACAAUUUAAUAUCAUCGCUUGAAACCAACUGGCCAAACUGGUCCAUUUAUAAGGAUAAUUUGGCUAUCACUCCAUAUUUUCUUCUCAAAUUCUGUUCUCAAGUUUUAACAUGACAUAAAUUAUUGGUCAUUAUAAUAAUGAUGUUAACAGCAAAGAUGUAAAGUCCCCAAGAACAUUUUUAUAGGUGUGUUCGUUUUUUUUGUAAUGUGUGAUUUGGUUUUGUUCUAUUUUUCGAAAUAUUGUUAUUACUAUUAUUAUUAUAGUUAAUAUUAUCGUCAAUGUUAUCGUUCAUGUCAUAUUAUUUUUCACUAUGAUUGAAUUGCCUGGUGGAGAAGCUCCGAUGAUAAGCGCCCGUUGAAGAUCAGGAAAGGUGUUAGGUAUCAGUUCUAAGAUUAGAUAUUAUAUUUUCAUGAUACGUUGAACAAAUUGUUUUUUUGUUUGUUUGUUUUGUUUUGUUUGUUUUUUUUAUGGCAGUUAAAGCUGACGCAGCGUAACAAGGAAAACAAAAAUAUCAAAAUCAAAGAAAGGAUGAUUCUGCUUUAUUAUGUAAAGUGGCAUACCUCAAGAAUUGAUUGUUAGCACCAAUUACGUUAGACGCAAAUCUAGAACCUAGCCGCGAAUAGGAGAACAAUCUUGCUGUUUUAAAAAAUUAAGAAAAUGUGAUCUAGUUUAGUGGCAGCCAUUGUGGAUCUUAUUCGAUGUAUGUUCGAACAAUGCAAAGUUAUUUAUCUUUUUAAUGGUGCAUCUGAUUUAUCCUGUGACUGUGAAAAUCUUCUUUUGUUUUAGUGUCCAAUAAUUUCCAAAUCCCCUUAGCUUGAAAGAAAUGCUUCAAUGAAGUCCAAUGUCACAUGUUUACAGUACGUAUAAAACUUAUUUACGAUUAACAAAUGCUCUAGUUCCAUUCGCAAUGUCACGUUCGUUGUGUGCGAAAAGCUUUUAUGGUCAUUCCAGUUACUUUUUCAGACUCUCUCUCAUUCUCGUUCCCAUAGCUCAAUGGUUUUCUCUAGCCGAUUGGACCUUUGGACGAGAAACCGAGGGACUUUGGGGACGGGAGUGGUUCUUUUUGUAAAGGAAAGAGAGGGCCUGGGAACGAAGCUGUCUUAAUUAUGCACACGGUAGUAAUGAUAAAUGCUAAAAGCACUGAAGAUGCUGAAUGUGAAAAACUCGAUUUUUAGUACAAGUGUAACCAAAAAAUUUAUUAAUUAAACGAAAAUUAGAAAUAAAUAAUACGAAUGAUUUAGUUAUCUCCUAA